GCGGACCCUGCGGCGGGCCGUAGCCGGGCUGCUGCGGCUGGCCGUAACCCGGCUGCUGGCCGUACCCCGGCUGCUCCGGCCGGCCGGGCUGUCCC
rnacentral:tRNA from 1 species